CUUUCACAUUGUCUUUCUCUUCUUCCUCUUCAUCUUACGAUGAAAGUUGUUUCGGAUGGCAUUGUUGUCGUGUUUGCCUUCUGCAUUGUACUUGGUUGUGGUUCGUUGGUAGUGGGGGAGGUGGCAAAGGUUAAGGAUGACAAGCAUUUGAUUCAUCCCCCUCAUCUGUUGGGGCCUGGGAUUAUCAAGAGAGGGUUUAAGCGCGGUGGAAUUGGUUUUGGUGGUGGUUUGGGAGGAGGAGGUGGCGUAGGUGGUGGUGCCGGGGGAGGAGGUGGUCUUGGUGGUGGUGGAGGUCUUGGAGGAGGUGCAGGUGGCGGACUUGGCGGGGGUGCUGGAUUUGGUGGAGGUGCUGGUGGAGGCCUUGGAGGUGGAGGUGGGCUUGGUGGUGGUGGUGGUAUUGGGGGAGGAGCAGGUGGUGGUGGUGGUUUAGGAGGUGGAGGUGGGCUUGGUCAUGGUGUUGGUGGCGGCAUUGGAGGAGGAGCAGGUGGUGGGCUUGGUCAUGGUGUCGGUGGUGGCAUUGGAGGUGGAGCAGGAGGCGGUGGUGGUUUGGGAGGUGGUGGUGGUUUGGGAGGUGGUGGUGG
rnacentral:sRNA from 1 species